rnacentral:rRNA from 1 species
UACGGGGGGGGGCAAGCGUUGUCCGGAUUUAUUGGGCGUAAAGAGCGUGUAGGCGGCCAGAUAGGUCCGUUGUGAAAACUCGAGGCUCAACCUCGAGACGCCGAUGGAAACCAUUUUGGCUAGAGUCCGGAAGAGGAGAGUGGAAUUCCUGGUGUAGCGGUGAAUGCGCAGAUAUCAGGAAGAACACCGUGGCUAAGGCGGCUCUCUAGUACGGUACUGACGCUGAGACGCGAAAGCGUGGGAGCGAACAGG